AGAAAAGUGAGAGUUCCAACUUUGCUCUUGGCCCGGGAGGGUUUUGGCGCGGAGCGUUGUCAUGUCAGAGAAAAAGCAGCCAGUAGAUUUGGGUCUCUUGGAGGAGGACGACGAGUUCGAGGAGUUCCCUGCGGAAGGCCUGCACACUGAAGUAAACACAGCUGUGGUUAUUUAAACAAUUAAUCACAAUCCUGGAAAUGCAUUUCAUGUUGAAGAUAAAGUGUGAAUACUUUAUAAAGUCAUCUACAUAUUGAAGGAAAGCAUUAGAUAUGAAUCAGACUGGGCUGGUUUGGAUGAGGAUGAAGAUGCACAUGUCUGGGAGGAUAAUUGGGAUGAUGACAAUGUAGAGGAUGACUUCUCCAAUCAGUUACGAGCUGAACUAGAGAAACAUGGUUAUAAGAUGGAGACUUCAUAGCAUCCA